rnacentral:rRNA from 1 species
UACCAGCACCCCGAGUGGUCGGGACGUUUAUUGGGCCUAAAGCAUCCGUAGCCGGUUCUACAAGUCUUCCGUUAAAUCCACCUGCUUAACAGAUGGGCUGCGGAAGAUACUAUAGAGCUAGGAGGCGGGAGAGGCAAGCGGUACUCGAUGGGUAGGGGUAAAAUCCGUUGAUCCAUUGAAGACCACCAGUGGCGAAGGCGGCGUCCUGGACCAAUACUGACACUGAGGAGCGAAAGCCAGGGGAGCAAACGGG